rnacentral:rRNA from 1 species
CCUACGGCAGGCAGCAGUGAGGAAUAUUGGUCAAUGGGCGGGAGCCUGAACCAGCCAAGUAGCGUGAAGGAUGACUGCCCUACGGGUUGUAAACUUCUUUUAUAAAGGAAUAAAGUGAGGUACGUGUGCCUCUUUGCAUGUACCUUAUGAAUAAGGAUCGGCUAAUUCCGUGCCAGCAGCCGCGGUAAUACGGAGGAUCCGAGCGUUAUCCGGAUUUAUUGGGUUUAAAGGGAGCGUAGAUGGGUUGUUAAGUCGGUUGUGAAAGUUUGCGGCUCAACCGUAGAAUUGCAAGUGAUACUGGCAGCCUUGAGUACAGUUGAGGUAGGCGGAAUUCGUGGUGUAGCGGUGGAAUGCUUAGAUAUCACGGAGAACUCCGAUUGCGAAGGCAGCUUACUAAACUGCCACUGACAUUGAUGCUCGAAAGUGUGGGUAUCAGACAAGAUUAGAUACCCCUGGUAGUC